UCCUUCCUUGUCUGGGGGUGGAUUGGGAUGAUCAAUGAGCGUUUAGCGAGAUCAUCCCUGCUGACACCUGACCAACACAAUCCGCAUCACCUGAGCAGUUCUGCUCAGACUCGGUGCAAUUUUUGGAACC